rnacentral:lncRNA from 1 species
GGGGACGCACUGGGCUCCUGGAGCCCGCUGCAGCUUCCUUCGCUCUGGUGAGGUGAACCGCAGUCUGAGGAAGACUUCGCUCAAUCGUCCCUUUCCACACCCAGGGUACUGGUUUAAGGAGUGGCAGGUGCAACAGAACCUCACCGGAGAGAAUCUGCCGACUAAGCCAAGGGGUGUUUCCCAGGUAGCCACUGAAGACCGAUGAUGGAGAAUAGAAGAGCUUCCUCUCAGCCUUUUGCUCUACAUUAGACCCAGGACAACAGAGGCUGAGGAGCAGAUUCCAGGUGCCUGAGAAAGACUUGGCAGUAUUCGGGCAGGAUGAAGCAUGACAAUAAAAAUAAAGUUGCUUCAAAGAAUA